AUUGAACGCUGGCGGAAUGCUUUACACAUGCAAGUCGAACGGCAGCACGGACUUCGGUCUGGGCGAGUGGCGAACGGGUGAGUAAUGUAUCGGAACGUGCCCAGUCGUGGGGGAUAACGUAGUGAAAAUUACGCUAAUACCGCAUACGAUCUAUGGAUGAAAGCGGGGGAUCGCAAGACCUCGCGCGAUUGGAGCGGCCGAUAUCAGAUUAGGUAGUUGGUGGGGUAAAGGCCCACCAAGCCAACGAUCUGUAGCUGGUCUGAGAGGACGACCAGCCACACUGGAACUGAGACACGGUCCAGACUCCUACGGGAGGCAGCAGUGGGGAAUUUUGGACAAUGGGCGAAGGCCUGAUCCAGCCAUUCCGCGUGCAGGAUGAAGGCCCUCGGGUUGUAAACUGCUUUUGUACAGAACGAAAAGGUUUCUACUAAUACUAGGAGCUCAUGACGGUACUGUAAGAAUAAGCACCGGCUAACUACGUGCCAGCCGCCGCGGUAA
rnacentral:rRNA from 1 species